rnacentral:snoRNA from 1 species
AACCUCCUGGUGCUUACCACAGGCUGUGUUUUUAUACUGACUGUAUAGAAAGAGAAGGGAGAGCAAACCUACCCCAUACACACCCCAACCCAGGCCACUGUUGAAUGGGGAGACAUGG